rnacentral:pre_miRNA from 1 species
GUUCCCUUAAACACUUCACUGAAUUUCAUUAUUCCACUGAAGUGUUUGGGGGAACUC